rnacentral:tRNA from 1 species
GCCGAAGUGGUGAAACUGGUAUACACGAAGGACUUAAAAUCCUUUGGAGUUAACCCUCCGUGCGGGUUCGAGUCCCGCCUUCGGCAUCA